GAAAAACACAACUGUAAAAUGAGACACACGUAGAAAAGCACAUCAGAUAUCUAUAUAAAAUAUAUCUAUAAUCUAUAUAAAAAGGUACUAUCGCAGUCCUACAAGCUUGAGACAUAGUAUGACAUCUGGCUCUGGUUCUCUCUCUCUCUGUCUUGUUCUCUCUCUCUCUCUGUCUUGUUCUCUCUCUCUCUCGGUCUUGUUCUCUCUCUCGCUCUCUCUCUCUCUCUCUCUUGUUCUCUCUCUCUGUCUCUCUCUCUCUCUCUCUCUGUCUUGUUCUCUCCCUCUCUGUCUCUCUCUCUCUCUCUGUCUCUCUCUCUCUCUCUCUCUCUUCCUCUGUCUUUCUCUGUCUUGUUGUCUCUCUCUCCUCUCUGUCUCUCGCUGCCUAGCUGGUACUAGAGUCACUGCCGUUAUUUGUCUGUGGAGAUUGAUUCACUUUAACUUUUAGAAUCACUUAGAAUCACUAGAGUUGCUUGACUCACUUGUAUUGCCAGAAUCACUUGAAUCACUAGAGUCACUUGAAUCACUAGAGUCACUUGAAUCACUAGAGUCACUUGAGUCGCUGGAGUCGCUAGAAUCACUUGAGUCACUAGAAUCACUUGAGUCGCUAGAAUCACUUGAAUCACUAGAGUCACUUGAAUCACUAGAGUCACUUGAAUCGCUAGAGUCGCUAGAAUCACUUGAGUCGCUAGAAUCACUUGAGUCGCUAGAAUCACUUGAGUCGCUAGAAUCACUUGAGUCGCUAGAAUCACUUGAGUCGCUAGAGUCGCUAGAAUCACUUGAGUCGCUAGAAUCACUUGAGUCGCUAGAAUCACUUGAGUCGCUAGAAUCGCUUGAGUCGCUAGAGUCGCUAGAAUCACUAGAGUCACUAGAGUCGCUAGAGUCGCUAGAGUCGCUUGAAUCGCUAGAGUCGCUAGAGUCACUUGAAUCACUUGAGUCGCUGGAAUCACUUGAAUCACUAGAGUCACUUGACUUGGAGGAAUCGCUUGAAUCACUAGAGGUGUUAGAGUCAACUGAAUCACUUGAUUUGGAGGAGUCAUUGUGAUCUGUCGAGUCUUUCCCGGUAUGCGAUUCACUGCCGGGUGAGUCCCUCUGCAUCCCAUAAUCACCAAACUCCUCCCCUAGCAACCGGUCCUCACUGUAACCAGGAAGAGUUUUAUAGGACGUUGUCAGCUCCUCCUCUGUAAUGUCAUUGCUGGCGAUGUCAUCAACCUUGAGACUACGCCCCCUCCUCACGUAAGUAGGUCUGGGAGAGGGGCCACUGUCCUGUCCUCUGGUUGGUUGAGGGAACGUGGUAGGCGUGACUCCCGGAAACCCCUCUAAGGCGAGACCCCACCCCUUUCUACUGUCCUGGCCAGUCCGGGCUGAGCUGCCGUCUGGGUCCUCUCCUCUCUCGUGACCCGCUCCUAUCCCCCAGGGGC
ensembl:lncRNA